rnacentral:rRNA from 1 species
UUAAGCGACCAAGCGUACACGGUGGAUGCCCUGGCAGUCAGAGGCGAUGAAGGACGUGCUAAUCUGCGAUAAGCGCCGGUAAGGUGAUAUGAACCGUUAUAACCGGCGAUUUCCGAAUGGGGAAACCCAGUGUGACUCGUCACACUAUCAUUAACUGAAUCCAUAGGUUAAUGAAGCGAACCGGGGGAACUGAAACAUCUAAGUACCCCGAGGAAAAGAAAUCAACCGAGAUUCCCCCAGUAGCGGCGAGCGAACGGGGAGGAGCCCAGAGCCUGAAUCAGCAUGUGUGUUAGUGGAAGCGUCUGGAAAGGCGCGCGAUACAGGGUGACAGCCCCGUACACAAAAGCGCAUGUGCUGUGAGCUCGAUGAGUAGGGCGGGACACGUGGUAUCCUGUCUGAAUAUGGGGGGACCAUCCUCCAAGGCUAAAUACUCCUGACUGACCGAUAGUGAACCAGUACCGUGAGGGAAAGGCGAAAAGAACCCCGGCGAGGGGAGUGAAACAGAACCUGAAACCGUGUACGUACAAGCAGUGGGAGCACAGGUUUACCUGUGUGACUGCGUACCUUUUGUAUAAUGGGUCAGCGACUUAUAUUCUGUAGCAAGGUUAACCGCAUAGGGGAGCCGAAGGGAAACCGAGUCUUAAUUGGGCGUUAAGUUGCAGGGUAUAGACCCGAAACCCGGUGAUCUAGCCAUGGGCAGGUUGAAGGUUGGGUAACACUAACUGGAGGACCGAACCGACUAAUGUUGAAAAAUUAGCGGAUGACCUGUGGCUGGGGGUGAAAGGCCAAUCAAACCGGGAGAUAGCUGGUUCUCCCCGAAAGCUAUUUAGGUAGCGCCUCGUGAAUUCAUCUCCGGGGGUAGAGCACUGUUUCGGCUAGGGGGCCAUCCCGGCUUACCAACCCGAUGCAAACUGCGAAUACCGGAGAAUGUUAUCACGGGAGACACACGGCGGGUGCUAACGUCCGUCGUGAAGAGGGAAACAACCCAGACCGCCAGCUAAGGUCCCAAAGUCAUGGUUAAGUGGGAAACGAUGUGGGAAGGCCCAGACAGCCAGGAUGUUGGCUUAGAAGCAGCCAUCAUUUAAAGAAAGCGUAAUAGCUCACUGGUCGAGUCGGCCUGCGCGGAAGAUGUAACGGGGCUAAACCAUGCACCGAAGCUGCGGCAGCGACGCUUAUGCGUUGUUGGGUAGGGGAGCGUUCUGUAAGCCUGCGAAGGUGGCCUGUGAGGGUUGCUGGAGGUAUCAGAAGUGCGAAUGCUGACAUAAGUAACGAUAAAGCGGGUGAAAAGCCCGCUCGCCGGAAGACCAAGGGUUCCUGUCCAACGUUAAUCGGGGCAGGGUGAGUCGACCCCUAAGGCGAGGCCGAAAGGCGUAGUCGAUGGGAAACGGGUUAAUAUUCCCGUACUUGGUGUUACUGCGAAGGGGGGACGGAGAAGGCUAUGUUGGCCGGGCGACGGUUGUCCCGGUUUAAGCGUGUAGGUGUGUGUUCCAGGUAAAUCCGGUUCACUUUAACACUGAGGCGUGACGACGAGGCACCACGGUGCUGAAGCAACAAAUGCCCUGCUUCCAGGAAAAGCCUCUAAGCAUCAGGUAACAUCAAAUCGUACCCCAAACCGACACAGGUGGUCAGGUAGAGAAUACCAAGGCGCUUGAGAGAACUCGGGUGAAGGAACUAGGCAAAAUGGUGCCGUAACUUCGGGAGAAGGCACGCUGACAUGUAGGUGAAGUGGUUUACCCAUGGAGCUGAAGUCAGUCGAAGAUACCAGCUGGCUGCAACUGUUUAUUAAAAACACAGCACUGUGCAAACACGAAAGUGGACGUAUACGGUGUGACGCCUGCCCGGUGCCGGAAGGUUAAUUGAUGGGGUCAGCGCAAGCGAAGCUCCUGAUCGAAGCCCCGGUAAACGGCGGCCGUAACUAUAACGGUCCUAAGGUAGCGAAAUUCCUUGUCGGGUAAGUUCCGACCUGCACGAAUGGCGUAAUGAUGGCCAGGCUGUCUCCACCCGAGACUCAGUGAAAUUGAACUCGCUGUGAAGAUGCAGUGUACCCGCGGCAAGACGGAAAGACCCCGUGAACCUUUACUAUAGCUUGACACUGAACAUUGAGCCUUGAUGUGUAGGAUAGGUGGGAGGCUUUGAAGCGUGGACGCCAGUCUGCGUGGAGCCAACCUUGAAAUACCACCCUUUAAUGUUUGAUGUUCUAACGUGGACCCGUAAUCCGGGUUGCGGACAGUGUCUGGUGGGUAGUUUGACUGGGGCGGUCUCCUCCUAAAGAGUAACGGAGGAGCACGAAGGUUGGCUAAUCCUGGUCGGACAUCAGGAGGUUAGUGCAAUGGCAUAAGCCAGCUUGACUGCGAGCGUGACGGCGCGAGCAGGUGCGAAAGCAGGUCAUAGUGAUCCGGUGGUUCUGAAUGGAAGGGCCAUCGCUCAACGGAUAAAAGGUACUCCGGGGAUAACAGGCUGAUACCGCCCAAGAGUUCAUAUCGACGGCGGUGUUUGGCACCUCGAUGUCGGCUCAUCACAUCCUGGGGCUGAAGUAGGUCCCAAGGGUAUGGCUGUUCGCCAUUUAAAGUGGUACGCGAGCUGGGUUUAGAACGUCGUGAGACAGUUCGGUCCCUAUCUGCCGUGGGCGCUGGAGAACUGAGGGGGGCUGCUCCUAGUACGAGAGGACCGGAGUGGACGCAUCACUGGUGUUCGGGUUGUCAUGCCAAUGGCACUGCCCGGUAGCUAAAUGCGGAAGAGAUAAGUGCUGAAAGCAUCUAAGCACGAAACUUGCCCCGAGAUGAGUUCUCCCUGAGACUAUAAGUCUCCUGAAGGAACGUUGAAGACGACGACGUUGAUAGGCCGGGUGUGUAAGCGCAGCGAUGCGUUGAGCUAACCGGUACUAAUGAACCGUGAGGCUUAACCUU